rnacentral:rRNA from 1 species
CGAGCCUAUGUCUUGUAUUGGAUGAUGGGAUUUAAACCUCUUCCAGAGUAUCAAUUGGAGGGCAAGUCUGGUGCCAGCAGCCGCGGUAAUUCCAGCUCCAAUAGCGUAUAUUAAAAUUGUUGCAGUUAAAAAGCUCGUAGUUGAAUUUCUGCUGCAUUGCUUUUGCUCCUUUACGAGUCUUUGCAUUGUGGCUUAUUUCGGACUUUGUUUUACAAUGUCCGGAUGUUUACUUUGAGAAAAUUAGAGUGCUCAAAGCAGGCUUUCGCCUUGAAUAGUUUAGCAUGGAAUAAUAAAGUAGGACUUUGGUUCUAUUUUGUUGGUUUUAGGUACCAAAGUAAUGGUUAAUAGGAACAGUUGGGGGCAUUCGUAUUUAACUGUCAGAGGUGAAAUUCUUAGAUUUGUUAAAGACGAACUACUGCGAAAGCAUUUGCCAAGGAUGUUUUCAUUAAUCAAGAACGAAAGUUAGGGGAAUCGAAGAA